CAUCUCCACGUAACAACACAAAAAUCAAAAGGCUGGUAUUCUGGAUGAUCACCAGCAUCUCUCUUUCCCCCUUGCAUUAUAAAUAGGUGCCACCUGCUGUGCAAAAAUAACUCAAUCAAGUCUGCUUUGGUGAAUUAAAAUUGGAAGGAAAAUGUCUUGCUGUGGAGGAUACAGUGGCUGUGGUUCUGGCAGCGGCUGUGGAGGUUGCGGAAUGUACCCUGAUGUCGAGAAGGACACAACUGUGACCCUGAUUGAAGGGGUAGCACCAGUGAACAUUUUCCCUGAGGGAUCCGAGAAAAGCUUCGUAGCAGAAGGAGGUCAUGGCUGCAAGUGCGCACCAAGCUGCCGAUGCAACCCUUGCAACUGUUGAUGAAAAAAUGACUGAUCUGUAGGUCUCCACUUAGUAAUUAUGACUACUAUGAUGCGACCCUUGGGGUAGCCUCAGUUGUUAAUGUUCCUGAUGGUGUGUGGUAAAGCUUGUCCUAAAUAAGAAAGCCAUGACUUCUGCAGAUCUCCACUCUGGAUUUUGCUGAUGUCUUAUCU